UAUAUAGUUUAUUAAAACAUUACAUUUUCAUUGUAAAAAUAAAGAUACAUUCUUUUAUAAAUUA
rnacentral:tRNA from 1 species